rnacentral:rRNA from 1 species
UACGAAGGGGCGUAGCGUUGCUCGGAAGUCACUGGGCGUAAAGGGUGCGUAGGCGGGUUUUAAGUUCAGAGGUGAAAUCCUGGAGCUCAACUCCAGAACUGCCUUUGAUACUGAGAAUCUUGAGUACGGGAGAGGUGAGUGGAACUGCGAGUGUAGAGGUGAAAUUCGUAGAUAUUCGCAAGAACACCAGUGGCGAAGGCGGCUCACUGGCCCGUAACUGACGCUGAGGCACGAAAGCGUGGGGAGCAAAC